rnacentral:rRNA from 1 species
AUUGAACGCUGGCGGCAUGCCUUACACAUGCAAGUCGAACGGUAACAGGUCUUCGGAUGCUGACGAGUGGCGAACGGGUGAGUAAUACAUCGGAACGUGCCCGAGAGUGGGGGAUAACGAGGCGAAAGCUUUGCUAAUACCGCAUACGAUCUCAGGAUGAAAGCAGGGGACCGCAAGGCCUUGCGCUCACGGAGCGGCCGAUGGCAGAUUAGGUAGUUGGUGGGAUAAAAGCUUACCAAGCCGACGAGCUGUAGCUGGUCUGAGAGGACGACCAGCCACACUGGGACUGGGACACGGCCCAGACUCCUACGGGAGGCAGCAGUGGGGAAUUUUGGACAAUGGGCGCAAGCCUGAUCCAGCCAUGCCGCGUGCAGGAUGAAGGCCUUCGGGUUGUAAACUGCUUUUGUACGGAACGAAAAGACUCUGGUUAAUACCUGGGGUCCAUGACGGUACCGUAAGAAUAAGCACCGGCUAACUACGUGCCAGCAGCCGCGGUAACAC